rnacentral:ncRNA from 2 species
ACGUGAUAUAGAGGCCGCAAUUCUCAUUAGUAUUAAAUGUUUGUUCAUUUAGGAAAGGGAAAAUUGCCGAAACACAAGAUAUGUGUUGGGACUAUACUGAAUAAGUAUGGUACUGUCUUCAAGGAAUUGCCCAAUUUUUUGAAGGAGUGCUUGUCAUGU